rnacentral:snRNA from 11 species
UCACUUACCUGGUUGGAGUGUGUCUUUGAUCAAGAAGGAAGACCGCUUAGGGUGGAGCAGGUCAUUCGCACUUUGAUGCUGUAAAGCCAUAUAAAAUAUAAAAAAUAUAUAAAAUUUAUUAAAUAUUUAGCCCUACAGCUUCCCGUUUGGGACAGCUGACUGCUAAAUUUCUGCCAGUGGGGACGUGCGCUUG